GCGCGGUUGCCUAGCGACGGCGCCCGGGAGGCCUAGUCCAGAAGCCGUCUCAACUGGAGCCCGGCGGCGGUGGUGGUUCUUCCCGGAUUCCGGAGCCGAUUCGCCUUCCGGCUGCUAAGCCUCCUGCGGCCGCCCUCAUGCUGUGGAUGCCGCUGGGCGGGAGCGGCCACCACGAGGCCUCCCAAACGGAGACGCCACCGCCGCUGCUGCCGGCAGACCCAGAGCGGGCAGCUGCUUCGGCGAGGUGGACUGAAAAGAAAAGAAUCACCCAACAAGGCCCUGAAGAAAGCAAACAAAUCCUUACUGGAAGAGAACAAUUACUUGAAGCUGCAGCUUGAACUGGUUAUGGACAUGCUGACAGAGACCACAGCACGGCUACACUUAGUAGAAAAAAAGCUGGACACUACUACUUGGCAUUCAAAUAUGAAAAAGUCAAAUAACAAGGUGCUGAUGCUUUGAGCUUAAAUAAACAGUUUAGAUAUAAGACCUAAAAUAAUUGUAUUUCUGAAGUACUGACACAAUACAAUCUUAUAAAAAAUAAAAGAUCAUGGGAAUCCUUGAAGCUGAAAUAUUGCACUAAAGCUAAAAUAAUAACUAGAAGAAAUGUUUGUACCUUAUUAUUCAUUAUGUGGCAAGAAUAGUUCUGUGUCAAGAAUCCUGUGGGAUAUAUGACUUCUGUGGUGUACUUACCCAAGUCUUAUUGGUGACAAGAACUGCAAUAUCAUCUGGUUUGCAGUACAGGUAGUCCUCAACUUACAACAGUUCAUUUAGUGAUUAUUCAAAGUUACAACAGCACUGAAAAAAUGAUGUUUUUCCACACUCAGCAGCAUCUCUAUGGUCACAUGGUCACAUGAUCAAAAUUCAGUCGCCUGGCAACUGACUUAUAUUUAUGAUGGUUACAGUAUCUUCGGGUCAUAUAUUCACCUUUUGUGACCUUCUCACAAGCAAAGUAAAUAGGGCAGUCAGAUUCGCUUAAUUGUGUUACAAUAACUGCAGUGAUUCACUUAACAACUGGUGGCAAGAAAGAUUGUAAAAUGGGGCAAAACUUUUAACAAGUGUCUCAGCAACAGAAAUUUUGGUCUCAAUUAGUAGCAGUGGUCAAAAGUCGAGGACUACAAGUAUUAGUUUCCAGCAAGAACCAUACUUAGAAUAAGAGAUAAAAAGGAACAAGCAGAAUACAACUAGUUCUCGACUUACAAAAGUUCAUUUAGUGACCAUGCAAAGUUACAACACUGAAAAAAAUGACUUUAUGACCAUUUUUCACUGUUACAACUUUGAAGCAUCCCCCUGAUCAUGGGAUCAAAAUUCAGAUGAUCGGCAAGUGGUUCAUACUUACAACCAUUGAUGUGUUCCAAGGUGAUAUGAUCACCUUUUGCCACUUUUUGACAAGCAAAGUCAAUGGAGAAGACAGAUUCACUUCCCAACCGUGUUACUAACUUAUCAACUGCAGUGAUUCACUUAACAACUGUGGCAAGAAAAGUUGUAGAAUGGGGCAAAACUCUUCACAAAUGCCUCACUUAGCAACAGAAAUUUUGGGCUCAAUUGUGGUUGUAAGUUGAGGACUACAUGUAUUCAUUUCAUUUGUGCAGAGCUUACAUACCUAAGAUAGCUUGCAGCCAGGAUUAAAAGCUGCUAAUGUUAUGGAAUGAACACGAUCAGUUUUAUUGCUUCAGUGGGGAAUUGGACUAGAUGACCUACAAAGUCCCUUCCAAUUCUGUUCUCUGUUAGAGCAGUGGUUAGAAAGUGCAGGGUAGUAACAACAGCAGGCAAGAACCACAACAAAAUAUCUAGGUUUGCUGGAGAGUGCCUUUUGGAAGAAAAUGUUCCCUGAAUAUAUGUCGGAUCCGUGUAUCUGUCAUUUCUUCAAUGGAAGAAGAAAAGGGGGGGGGGAAAGACUGAUAAAGAAAUUCUUUCUUGAUAUAACCUGAAUAUAUUUAAUCUUAUAUCAAAUUUGUAUAACCCACACAUGAUACAAUGGAGGAAGAGGCACAGCCCGGAGAUGAGAAGAUCAUAAAAAUUCCACAGUGAGAUGUAUCCUGGGAAUCUCUGGAAAAAGUUCAUUUUAGAAAGGGGGUGGGGCAAAAUUAGGUAUAUCCUGGGAAACUGAAAAAGAUCUACAGAAGGGGUGGGGGGAAUUAACAUACUGGCUUUUGUUUCACUAAAUACACAUUGAGAUAAGGGGAGGGGUUCCUCUCCCCUUAUCUAUCUCUGUAUGCCUGAGAGACCUCAGAUGCUGCUUUGAACUACAUGAAUUGUCUCAUCUUAAUAAAGGAUUCCUUUUGAUAAGUUUGGUGUUCAGAAGUUCAUUCUUGUUAAUUGAAUGGGGAAAAGUUCUGUAGCCUGACAAUAUGUAGCAUGAAUCCUGGAAAGUUAUUUCUCAGCAUUGGGCAUUCUUGCAUAAUUAUUUCAUGGCAUUUUUGAUUAGAGGCAGUGGAUUCUGAAAUCAGCAGCUUCUCUGACUAUAAAAUGGUUUGAACAGACAAAAGUGAAAAUAGGUUUAUCAACAAAGUAUUAAUUAUGGUGGUUACACCACAAUAUUCUUGAUAAGAUUGUCUUUUCAAGAUAGAAUCUUUGUAAAGUGGCCUAAUUACCCAGAGUUGCUGGGAGUCAGGCAGCAUAUAAAUUUAAUUAUUACUCAUAAAAUGUGAACUAUGAUAUAAGACCACCACUUUUCAACUAGAAAAAAGGAAUACAAGUAGUCCUCAACUUAUGACCACAAUUGAACUCAAAAUUUAUGUUGCUAAGUAAAACAUUUGUUAUGUGAAUUUUGCCGCAUUUUAUGAUCUUUCUUACCACAGUUGUUGAGUGAAUCACUGUAGUUAUUAGUAAUAUGGUUGUUAAGUGAAUCUGGCUUCCCCAUUGACUUCGCUUGUCAGAAGGUCGCAAAAAGGGAUCACACGUCCCCAGGACACUACAACUGUCAUAAAUAUGAGUCAGUUGUCAAGCAUCUGAAUUUUGAUUCCAUGACCAUGGGGAUGCUGCAACAGACAAUUAUGAAAAAUAGUUGUAAGUAACAUUUUUUAGUGCUGCUGUAACUUCUAACGUCACUAAAUGAACUGUUGUAAAUUGAGAAUUUUCUGUAAUUCCUGAAUCUGUUUAUAGUAAAAGAUAAAACAAUAUAACAAUAGCCAAAAGUUCACUGAGGGAGUAAUAUAAUCAAUAAAAUUAUCUCAGCUAAUAUUCAUUUUAAGUGGACAAUUCUUUAGAACUGUAAUUGAAAGCAAAAAUAAUAGAUUUCCCCCACUCCUUGGGAAGAGUUUUACUAAGAAUUCAUGUGAUUAGUGGAUCUUAAUAUUUGCCCUCAGGUUGGGCUUCUGAUAAGCUUUGCGGUUGGGACAAGAUUUCAUGGAUGUGGAUGAUCACUUGAUAGCGAUCAGUUACUUUAUUUCAUAGGGACCACUGCUUUGAGAGAGGAAGGGAACCAUGAUUAGGCCAUUCCAUUUAUGUCUGUACUCUUCCCAAGACCCAUAUUGUUUUGCUCUGACUUUCUGUAAGAAGUGGACAUUGAAUUAGUGAGUAUAUAUCUUGGUUGUGCAGAACUACUUUCUUCUGAAGAAAUAAUAUUGUUUAUUUACGAUGUCUUGCUUGGUCAAGAAAUGAUGUCUAACUUAGAUAGCCAACACCUGUGGUCCUGUUUAUGACCAUCCUUCAAAUGAUAUGGUAGCUUUUGUGAGAUUUGAACGACACAAAAUUUAAAUGCUGGUGAGCUGGGUAAUACCUUCCAAUUGUUUUCAGUUCCCUCAUCACAUUGAUAAUCAUAAUCCUUUCCUGAUUAUUCAUUUUCACUAGCUGUAUAUUUAGUUUUGAGUAAGCUUUUGUAUACAAUUCAAAGAUCAUAAUAUGCACGAUAUGAUCACAAUAUGACAGAACCAGGUUGUAUUCUCAGUGGUGAAGCUCAGUCAUGACAUCUAUCUCAGGGUUUUCUCAAUUUAAACUGCCUAACAGAAUGUCUGUUAGGAUAAAGUGGGACGAAGAAAUCACAAAUGCAGUCUUCUGCAGAAGGAAGAAAAGAAUUAGUGGCUGAGCAGCAUUUAAUGUCCUAACGUUGCUCUCUUGAAGCAAAUACCACUAAAAUCAUAGCAUUCGUUGGAGGCACUUGCUCAAAUUGAAAGGAAGCUUUAUUUAUCAAUUUUAGGCACUGCCCAUUUCAAACUCAUUGUGAGAAUGCUCAAGACAGUCCAACAUCUGAAUAUCAAAUGAUCAAAUUUAAAUUAUUUACUGGAAAAUAAAGAUUCUUUGAAUUCAUUAGAAAUUACUUUAUAUUUACUCUGUAUUUACUGCAAUCUUUGCAGACUGCUAAGAAAUAUUUAUGUUAGCGUGUAACAGUGUUUCACUUUACUUGAAAAUGAAAGGUUUAUAUGGCAUCAUGAAGACUAAUCCAUACCCUCAGAUGGAUUGUAUUAUGAGAGACAGACAGAGAGAGACAGAGAG
rnacentral:lncRNA from 1 species